rnacentral:lncRNA from 1 species
GAAUCAUGUAAAAUCCUAAUCACCCUUGUAUUCAAUUUGAUAAACACUUGAACUUCGCGAAUCGACCACUUGUAAGUUUAAUUUUAGAUGUAAAGGAAGAGGGAUGUUCUCCGUGAUCUUCAUCCGUAGAGCCUCCAAUCUAUAAAAUUGGAAGUUUGAAACCCAUCAAAAAAUCACCACAUGAGUUGAAAACAAAAGAAAAACACAUGAAUAGCUUGAACAUAAGUGACCGAACGGACUGGUCAUUAAUCAAAUGUCCAUUGCCACAUCGGGCAAAUGACCAAAUCUUCCUCGCGCUGUCCAUGGUCUGCCUUGCCAGCAACAGGAUACCGCUCUCACCAUCUCCAUUCCCAAGGCCUCCUCCAACCUCCAGGGGCAUGGUCGGCCUGCUCCAAAUCCAUUCACAAGCAAUCAAUAGCAACCAUUCAUAGCAAAACAUGGCCACGACACUCUAGAGUACAAUGGACGCACUUGGGAAUCAACAACAUCAGAACAUGAACAUGACCAUGGUACUAAAUUUAUCCCAAAAUAAUAUCAGAAACACCUGAGUGCAGUUAGUUGUAACCAUGGUACUUCGUGAAUCAACAACAUAUGUACUAAUCACGCAAGAAUGCACCCAUAGGGAAUUGAUAGCAUCUGGACCCAAAAGGAAAGAACACGCAAGAGUACUAAUCUAUAGCAACCAUAACAGGAGGUUACCUUGAUGUGGUGGGCGGCGCAGCUCCGGACGACCGGCAUGGAGGGGCCGAGGGGCCGCUGGGUGGGCCGAGUCCUGCUCGGGGGCGAACAGAGGUGGGCAGAGCACCUCCGGGCGACGGUGGAGAGGACCAUCAAUGGGCGCCAGAGUGGAGGCGGCUAGGAACCCUAGCGUCGCGGUCGGGAAGAUGGAUUAGGUUGCUUCGGCAGGGAGGAGAAGGCGUGCGCAGCAAAGCCAGAGGAUCUGGGAUGGAAGGAUACGGC